rnacentral:rRNA from 1 species
CCCUUAGACGUUCUGGGCCGCACGCGCGCUACACUGACCAGUGCAACAAGCAUCCGUCCUUGGCCGACAGGCCCGGGCAAUCUUUGAACGCUGGUCGUGAUGGGGAUAGACUUUUGCAAUUUUUGGUCUUCAACGAGGAAUUCCUAGUAAACGCAAGUCAUCAACUUGCAUUGAUUACGUCCCUGCCCUUUGUACACACCGCCCGUCGCACCUACCGAUUGAAUGGUCCGGUGAAGCCUCCGGAUUGGCGCGCACCUCGGUGCCGCCGAGAAGUUGUCUAAACCUUACCAUUUAGAGGAAGGUGAAGUCGUAACA